UACGGAGGGUGCGAGCGUUGUCCGGAAUCACUGGGCGUAAAGGGUGCGUAGGCGGCCUGAUAAGUAGGGGGUGAAAUCCUGCGGCUUAACCGCAGGGCUGCCUUCUAAACUGUCAGGCUAGAGCACAGUAGAGGCAGGUGGAAUUCCCGGUGUAGCGGUGGAAUGCGUAGAGAUCGGGAAGAACAUCAGUGGCGAAGGCGGCCUGCUGGGCUGUUGCUGACGCUGAGGCGCGACAGCGUGGGGAGCAAACAGG
rnacentral:rRNA from 1 species